CCGUCUGAUAAAAUACAGUAAUGACUCAUUUAUCAAAAUUCAAUUAUCAAAUUAUGGCUAAAUUCAAUAAAUAUUGCUGUUAUCGAGUGAACGUUAUUCACUUUUGCUUUGGCAUCAGGCGUAGUAAAUUUCAGUUCGAGAUAGCCAUGAACACAAAACUGCUUGCAACACUUGUGAUGGUGGUUCUAAUGGUAUCCACAGUUAGUGCAGUCACCUCUGAAGGAUGUGACUAUUCUCGCAAAAUCUGCCAACGAAGAUGCAAAGCGAGAAAUCUCACUUUUCUCGAAAAAAAGGACUGCAGCAAUAGAUGCGAGUCUACCUUUGUGAUCUGCAAGUGGCAAAUCUGAAAUAAACAAAUAACGUGUGUCAAUGUGUUGAAAACUGAAUAAAUCAGUUCAAGCAA